rnacentral:lncRNA from 1 species
UAUGAAUAUAGGGACACAGCAUUGGUCACUGGUUAGGCAUACUGGACAACACAGGCAAGGUGGACAGAACCAGUUGGUAUUUUUAUCAAAGGAUUUCAAAAAGUAACUGCUAAGACCAGUACAUAUACAACACGCGUGUGGUCAUUGUACGGAGAGACAGGAAAAAAGGAAGAGCAGGAUAAUAGGUCUAAAAAAAGAUAGAUAUUAAAUACAUCGUAUUAAUAUUAUAUUUGAAUAAUUGGUGGACAGUAUGAAGUGCACAGCGAUACUGGUUAUCUGUAUUUUCCUCUUAUCUUUUGCAGCAGGUGUAGAGGGCGCCACAUGUAAAUGCUGUGGAGAGGAGUGUAGUGGCCGGUAUUGCACGUGUAGAGGAACUCUCAACUGUAGAUGUGUGGCACGAGAUGACUAUGCACAAGCAAAAUGGUUACAUAAAACUCACAGAAGACACAGACCACGUGUCGGCUGAUGAAUCACGUGACCAAUGACGAAAUCAUCCGACUUUGAUGAAGGAAUGUGUCCCUAACAUAUUUCUAACAUAAAGUGCAAUUUGGCGCUGCUGGUGUCCAUCGCACGCAUUUUUUCUUUAUGUUCACAUCAUGGAGAUUAUCUCGAUUUUUCAUCGUGUUUUUGUUGAUCUCGUUCACAAUCAGCGUUGUCACACUUAGCAUUUUGAGAAGAUCAGUCAGUGUGUUUUGGACGGAGGAAGGGAGAAGGCUGAAGAGGGAUUUUGUUCCUCCAUGUGUUUUGGAAAAAGAAUAUUGGUCCAAAUUGGUCUGUGAAUAUAUGUGUGAAAAAUCCAACUCGUUGUCAUUGCCAUCAUACUACAUCUGAUUUUUCAUACACAUUCAAAAGUAUCUAUUCUACCUUUAUAUUUCUCCGUACUGAUCACCCAUUUACUUGUUUUCCAUUGUCUUUUUGUGAUUACGAGGAAACUUGCAAAACUAUUUAGAAAUGAACCAAUCAAAUCAAACUAUAUGUGACUUUGGCAUGUUCCAUCUUUUCCAACCGCAAAAACGAUUUCUGCACUUGUUAACUCGCUCUUAAGGAAAUUUAACUUGCACUCAGUAACUCCCUAUCAUUUUACUCAUUUGGUUACUCUUUUAUUAUUACCUGCAAUUAGUGAAAGUGUAAGCCAUUACCUUUACAACAGUUGCAACACUAAUUAAUUUAUACUAAACAUACUCUGUACUCUGUGUUUUUGUGUGUGUGUGUGUGUGCAAAAAAUACAACACAAUUGUGUUGUAAACGCAUUAUUUAUUCGAAUUAUAUAUGUAUAUGUAUAUAUUUUAAUUCCUUUACUCCAAAGAUUUGCACCUAUAUGAUAACUUAUUCAAAUGCUGUAUUAUAGAUGUUGUGCGCUACAUUUCGAUAUCACAGUCUUAUUUAUUGUUGUUUCACAUUAAGUGUUCAUGAUCUACGAUAUGUUAUUUAUGCAGUAUUUGUACUAAUAUAAUUAGUUUAAUUAUUAAUUUAUUACAAAUUUAUUCACAACCAUGACUAUACUCUUACUAUAUGAAUCAGUGAACCAAGUCAGUGCUUGAAUAAAAGUUAAUCAAAUUA